rnacentral:lncRNA from 1 species
AAGGAACCCACCAGCCAUCCUGGUUGAUUAUGAAUGAGGCUGUCCAGCCCUGUCUGAGCUCAGCACCUCCACCAUCCCCUGGGCAUUUCUACAAGACGUUCUGUAUGCAGGGGGGACCCAGGUUAAGACCCAAACUGGUUCAAUUGGCAUCUGACGCCCUUUGCAAAUGGCUCUACUCUCCUUCAUCAAUCCAUCACCCAAAGACAGCCUGAUCUAAAAGGAUAGAUUCUUCACACAUGCCAUCCGCACUCCUGCCUUCAUAUGAAGUUACUCCUACUUUUUGGCCACCUCUCCUUCGAAGCCCAGCCUCAACUCCCACCUCCUCCUUCAUGAAGCCCUCCCCAGCCACAUAAGUUCUCAGUAGUCAUUUCUCUGAAUUUUGAGUGUCUUCCUGUCUAUAUAAUGUGUCUGGCACUUUAAGAAACAUUAGACUGUUUUGGAAAAUGCCUUGGGCUUUGGAAUAAAAUAGAGCUGGUGAUGUUACUGACUCCAUCCAUCACCUCUUAUGAAAC